rnacentral:rRNA from 1 species
AGUCACUGACAUUAGAUACCCCUGUAGUCCCAGCCGUAAACUAUGCGCGUUAGGUGUAUCGGUGACCACGAGUUACCGAGGUGCCGAAGGGAAACCGUGAAACGUGCCGCCUGGGAAGUACGGUCGCAAAGCUGAAACUUAAGGAAUUGCGGGGAGCACCACAACAGGUGGAGCCUGCGGUUUAAUUGGACUCAACGCCGGGAAGCUCACCGGAUAGGACAGCAGAAUGAUUGCCGGGCUGAAGACCCUGCAUGACUAGCUG